rnacentral:rRNA from 1 species
AACGAACGCUGGCGGCAUGCCUAACACAUGCAAGUCGAACGAAGGCUUCGGCCUUAGUGGCGCACGGGUGCGUAACGCGUGGGAAUCUGCCCCUCGGUUCGGAAUAACAGUUAGAAAUGACUGCUAAUACCGGAUGAUGACUUCGGUACAAAGAUUUAUCGCCGAGGGAUGAGCCCGCGUAAGAUUAGGUAGUGGGUGGGGUAAAGGCCUACCAAGCCGACGACAUUUAGCUGGUCUGAGAGGAGGAUCAGCCACACUGGGACUGAGACACGGCCCAGACUCCUACGGGAGACAGCAGUGGGGAAUAUUGGACAAUGGGCGAAAGCCUGAUCCAGCAAUGCCGCGUGAGUGAUGAAGGCCUUAGGGUUGUAAAGCUCUUUUACCAGGGAUGAUAAUGACAGUACCUGGAGAAUAAGCUCCGGCUAACUCCGUGCCAGCCGCCGCCGUAA